GCUGAAAGAUGGGCUCGCGCCCGAUUAGGUAGUUGGUGAGAUAAUAGCCCACCAAGCCGACGAUCGGUAGCCGGACUGAGAGGUUGAACGGCCACAUUGGGACUGAGACACGGCCCAGACUCCUACGGGAGGCAGCAGUGGGGGAUAUUGCACAAUGGGGGGAACCCUGAUGCAGCGACGCCGCGUGAGGGAAGACGGUUUUCGGAUUGUAAACCUCUGUCUUUAGGGACGAAACAAAUGACGGUACCUAAAGAGGAAGCCACGGCUAACUACGUGCCAGCAGCCGCGGUAAUACGUAGGUGGCAAGCGUUGUCCGGAAUUACUGGGUGUAAAGGGAGCGUAGGCGGGAAUGCAAGUUGAAUGUUUAAACUAUGGGCUCAACCCAUAGUCGCGUUCAAAACUGCAUUUCUUGAGUGGAGUAGAGGCAGGCGGAAUUCCUAGUGUAGCGGUGAAAUGCGUAGAUAUUAGGAGGAACACCAGUGGCGAAGGCGGCCUGCUGGGCUCUAACUGACGCUGAGGCUCGAAAGCGUGGGUAGCAAACAGGAUUAGAUACCCUGGUAGUCCACGCCGUAAACG
rnacentral:rRNA from 1 species